CAAGCUGAGACUGAAAACAAGCCGUAAGGAAGGAGGCAGAGGACUAGUGAGUGUGAGAGCCACUGUCCAGGAUGAAACAUCCAAGAUCCAUAAAUACAUCAAGGACAAAGC